rnacentral:rRNA from 1 species
AUGAAGUGCAUCAGCUGGAACUGCCGGGGGCUUGGGAACCCCGAGGCAGUUCGAGAGCUUCGCCGAUUGGUGAAGCAAGAAGGUCCUGCCCUACUAUUUGUAAUGGAAACUAAAAUCAGGGCUAAACGAGUUGAAGACUUGCGAUUUCAGCUUGGUUUCUCAGGUUGUUUCGCGGUUGACAGCAUUGGGUUAAGUGGCGGAAUUGGACUGUAUUGGUCCAAGGAUGUGGAUGUUGCAUUGCAAAACUUUAGCAAGAGCCAUAUUGAUGUAUCGGUGAAAGUCAGAGAUCAAGCCUCCUCGGAGUGGCGGUUUACUGGAUUUUACGGUGCACCGCGGGUCGAAGAUAGGCAUCAUAGCUGGCGUUUUCUUCGGACCUUACAUACCCUGCCCCACUCUUUGUGGUUGUGCAUGGGUGAUUUUAACGAGACAUUGUUUGGUGAUGAGCAUUUCAGCAAGACGGCCCGACCGGAAUGGCAAAUGAAGGCCUUUCGUGAAGCUGUUGAAGAUGUUUCCUUCCAAGACCUGGGUUGGUCUGGAAUGGCCUAUACAUGGGAUAACAGACAAGGGGGUGAUAGUAAUGUUAAAGCUAGGCUUGACCGAGCCUUUGCAAAUGAAGCCUUUCGCCAGCGUUAUGAGGAUAUCCGAGUGCGUCAUGUUGCUGCCACCGAGUCCGAUCACUGUUUUGUGGUGGCUGACAUUCAGGGCACAAAGGGGCAGGACGGCGCACGUCGCGUGAAGCAGUUUAGAUACGAAAAUAUAUGGCAAACUCAUUCUGAUUAA